GAUGAACCGUGCGAACGUUAUUCGGAAUCACUGGGCUUAAAGGGCGCGUAGGCGGCCGCUUGCGUCGGAUGUGAAAGCCCGGGGCUCAACCCCGGAACGGCAUCCGAUACGGGGCGGCUCGAGACCGAGAGAGGUGAGUGGAAUACCCAGUGUAGAGGUGAAAUUCGUAGAUAUUGGGUGGAACACCGGUGGCGAAAGCGGCUCACUGGCUCGGUACUGACGCUGAGGAGCGAAAGCGUGGGGAGCGAACAGG
rnacentral:rRNA from 1 species